AACGAACGCUGGCGGCAUGCCUAACACAUGCAAGUCGAACGCUCGUGGCAACACGGGAGUGGCGAACGGGUGAAUAACGCGUGGGAACCUACCCCGAAGUUCGGAAUAACCGCGGGAAACUGCGGCUAAUACCGGAUGUGGCCUGAGGGCCAAAGGCGCAAGUCGCUUCGGGAGGGGCCCGCGUCCGAUUAGCUAGUUGGCGGGGUAAUGGCCUACCAAGGCGACGAUCGGUAGCUGGUCUGAGAGGACGACCAGCCACACUGGGACUGAGACACGGCCCAGACUCCUACGGGAGGCAGCAGUGGGGAAUAUUGGACAAUGGGCGCAAGCCUGAUCCAGCGAUGCCGCGUGUGUGAAGAAGGCCUGCGGGUUGUAAAGCACUUUCAGUA
rnacentral:rRNA from 1 species